ACGGUGAAGCGGGCGCGGAGAGCCGGGCGGGCCGGGGCCUCUGGGCUCACCGUCUUCCUCCGCUGCGGGGGCCGAAGGGACGGGUGGGCGGCCGAGUGCGGCGCGCGUUUGUUCGUCCAUUCAACAAAUAGGUAAAAUAGGUAUGAGGCACCUACCCGGUGCCGGGUGUCGCUUGGGCCUGGGGGGUCUAGUGGACAUGUCCGCUGAGGUCCCAGCUCGUGUUCCAGGGGAGAAGGAAGAGGACAACAGACAGAUUCAGAAGGUGGCAGGAAUCUUUGAGGUGCCUGCUGCCCAAGUGUGAAUGGAGGAAACAAGCAGACAAGAGGGCGACACCCCCAAACUAUCAGAGAUUCCAAGGGUCCCAUGCAAGACUUCAACCCUACCUGGAGGUGACUCUAGGGAUCAAGGUGAGCUGAAAGAUGGCAGCCUACCCUCACAAGGUCCAUUUUCUCACAUAAAACAAGUCUGGAGGUUGGCAGUCUAAGGCUGAUAAGACCACCUGUGGUCAUCGGGACCCAGGUUCCUUCUAUUUGUCCCUUGUCCCUUCCGAGUAUGUGGCUUCUAUCCUAAGGUCAGUCACCUCAGGGUCUAAAAUGGCUGCUGGACUUCCAGUCAUCAUGUUAGCCUGGAAGGAGAAAAAUGGAGAAGCAAAGGGUUUACAUCUCAUUGGCCAGAAUUUAGGGUGUUGAUUACACCUAGCUGCAAGGGAGGCUGGGAAAUGUAGUUUUUUCAGCUGAGGUCUUAGCCCAGGACUCUGUAGUGAGACAGAAGGAGGAAUGGAUGUUGGAAGGCAGUUUAGUCACCUAUAUCCCAGGAUAUUAAUAGUGACACCAUUAAUUAAGAUCAAGGCACACCCCCCCCACCCGCUUAAAACUUUCCCUGAGCCUCCAGUCAUCUGUAGCCCCUUCACCCUGGCCACCAAAGCCCUACUGGAUCCAGCCCCACCCUCCCCCUCCUAACUCAUCUCCUACUGCUCUCCUCCUCCCUCUCUACUGGUGUCUUUAACGUGUCAAGCUCAUUCGUACCUCAGGGCCUUUGCACUUGCUGUUCCCUCUGCCUGUAAGUCUUUCCGCCAAGAUCCUCGCACAGCCAGCUCACCUCAUCAUGCAGAUCUCAGCUCAAAUGUCACCUUCUCAGAAAGGCCUGCCCCAACCUUCCCCCACAGCCACUCUUAGCUCCAUUAGCCUGUUUUAUUUUUUCCAAAGCACUUAGUAUGAUCUGAACUUAUACUUUUUAUGUUUAUGCUCCACAUGAGGAGGGAAACUCACUCUUGCUCACUGCUCUGGGCACUGCCUGUUCAUAUACGGGUGCAUAUGCAGAUAGAGGAGAAGCCUUCAUUUGUGUUUUCUUCUUCUGUACGUUGUUGCCACCUCGCUCCGUGUCAGCCUCGCACCAGCCUGCUCGUAGAAGGGGUGGCUCAUCUGACCUUCCCUGAGCCUGCCUGUCGUUUUGGAGGGAAGAGUGAUGAUGGCUGCAGAGGCCUGCACUGUGCUUGGCCACAGAUGUCCAAGCUGUCCCCAGUCUAUGCCGGGGACCCAGCUGAUAGCCCAAUCCCUUGUCACUAUCCCCCUAGGGAUUCCUUCUGCUGUCUCUCCUGGUUUGGGUCUCCUGGGCCCGUGUCUCUGGUAUUUUCUUUCUUGGUUUGCUCCCUUGUUGUUGUGGAGCACGAGCCCCUGAGGCGUCCUGAGGCAGAGUGGAAGAGAGUCCAAUUUCUUGAGAUCCUGCGGGCCUGCAGACGUCUCUCUCUCCUCUCAUCUGACUGAUAGUUUGCCUGGGUUUAGAAUCUGGUGUGGAAAUGCUUUCCUUUCAGAGCCUUGAGAGCGUUACUCCACGCCUUCUAGCCUCUCUGGAAACUUGUAGACUCUUUUUGUUCCCAGGCCUUUGAAAGUUUGCAGCAAUGUGCUUCGGUGUGGGUCUGUUUUCAUCCACCACUGUGAGCAAUUUUGGUCAUUUCAAUACAAAAAUGCGUGUCCUUCAUUUCUGAGACAUUUUCUUGAGUUAUUUCCUUUACAAUUUCUUUCUCUCUGUUUUCUCUCUUUAACACAUCUUGCUCAGGUGUUGAAUCUCUUGACUUGAUUGUCAAUGUUCUUACCUUUCCUCUCCUAGUUUCCAUUUCCUUCUCUUUUUUCUCUGUUUUCCGGGAGAUUUCCUUACUUGUGCCUUCUAAUCCAUCUCUUCUUUUUUUAGAAAUCAAUUUUUCCCGCUUUUAAUUUCCAAGAACUCUCUUUUAAUUCUCUAUUCUCUGAAUGUGCCUUUUAUUAGAGCUUCAUGGUUGUAAUCUCUUCUCGUAUCUCCCUGAGAUCAUUAAUAAUCUUUAAAGAUUUUCUUCACCUUGCAUGGUCUCUGUUUCUGGACGCUGUUUUCCUGUUUGUCUGCUUUGUUCCCUCUAUCGCAUGAUAGAGUGUCCCUCAGAUGUCAGGUGACCUGAGCUUCACCAGAUCAUGAUUAAGUACCAAAUGCUGGUCGGAAGCUCCGAGACCUUGAUGGGCCGCUGGUGGGGGGCUCCACUGGUGUCAGUACCUUGAGGUCUUUCACUUGGGGCUGGACAGAGUCCCUGGGAAAACUCUUUCAGUCUCCUGCCUGGAGAAUAGUCUAGCCUGAUGGCUUCUGGAGCAGAGUAGGGCCAAGAGCUGGGUGGGGGUCGCAGCAUCCUGUACCCCGUGUUUCCAGUAGAGUAGCUGAGCUCUUAGCUGGGCCUUGCUUCCUUCGUCCAGAGAAUAAAUCCUGGACUUUUGCUGAGGAAGGGAGGGGUGAUUACCUAACAUUUUGGAGUGAGGUUGGGAAUCCAGUUUUCAGAAGCUUUUGCUCUGCUCUCUCUUGUUUUAACUGCUAUUCAUCCCCAUUUCCAGGUGUAUCCAGGGCUGCACAUUCCUGAUGCUUUGCAGGCUCUGGGGUGAGAACAGACUUGAGUCUCUUCUAGAGAAUCAAACAGCCUGCUGUUCUGCCUCUCUGGGACCUCUCGGUCAGCCCCACUGUGUGCUGUGCCUGUUCCUGGUCUGCGAAACAGCCGUGACCAAGCCAAAGUCCCAGUUCUCACAGAGCUCAAGGACGUUCUAGCAGGAAGAAUAAGCAUGUAUGUAACACAGGUGAAAAAACAGGGUAAUUUUCGGAAGUGGCAAGUGUUUUGAAGGGUGAGAGUGAGUGGCUGUAGGAGGGGGCUGCUUUGGGUUGGCACCCAGGGGGCCUCUCUGAGGGGCUGGCAUUUGAGCAGGGACUCGAAUGGUGCAAGAGGCUUGCAUUCCAGGGGGAAGCAGCCACCUAAAGGCCUUGCCCGAGGUGGGUGAGGCAUGGUGCACAGGAUUUUUUGGUUUUAAAUUUUUUUUAAUUGUGGUAAAAUACACAUAACGUAAAAUUUAUUGUCUUAACCAUUUAGAUGUGUGCAGCUGAGUGAAUGCACAGGUUUUGAAGAAGUUUUUUGAACCCCUGGAUCCAGCAGUAACUGAAGCAGUUACAACCCCCUGACUUUCAGUUACAGGAGCCAAUAGUCACCCCAUCUAGACCAAGUUUGAGUUGGACCCUCUGCCACUGGCUCCUCGAGACCUGAUACAAUCAAUGUUGUUGGGUAAGCAAAUAGGAGAGUCUCCCAUUGCGUGGACAGGCCACAGCUUCUUGAGCCAGCCCCCUCCUGGGGCCACCUGAGUUGCUCACAUCUUUUGCUGUCACGGUGCAGCAAGGACCUCAUACGUGUGCCUUCUCAUACAUACAAAGUGGAGCAUCCGUGCAAUGUAUCAAGUGAGAAAAUAGAUACAGAACUGUCUAUAAGAUAUGUUAUGUUUUGCACAAGAAAGAGGGAAAAUCAGAAUAUGUCUUCAUGUUUGUUAUACUUCCAUAAAGAUAUCCUGGACAGAUAGACAAAAAACUAAUAAACUUACCUGCCUUUGUGGUUGGUGGGGGGCUAGGGAACUCGAUGAUAGGGGCAGAGGUGGGAGAGAGACCUCCCCCUUCACCCUUUAGCCUUGUUUUGCUUUUAGAACCAUGUGAUUGCAUUACUUGGUUUAAGACAACAAAAAGUAGCAGUGGAACGGAGCUGUGACCCAAAACCUAAAGAUGGCAGUUGGUGUCCGAAUUUGGAAACUGCUCCCUAUUGUGGCCUUGGGCUGUCUCUUAUGCCCAGACUAUUCCUUCAUCCGCGGGGGCCAACAGGGAGCUGGGAAGAGAAUGGGGGUGACACCUGCAAAUACAGACCCCCACUCUCCUGUGUGCGCGUGCCUGCCGGCAGCCAGCAGCUCACAUAGCCACCUACAGCAUCCUGUUUCUCGUCCACUUUCUCCUGGGGUGUGGGUGAGGGCACAUCUUGCAGAAACAGGACACUUUAAAUCCUCCCCCAGCACAGAAGACUCCAGAGGGGCCUGCCCGGGUUAUGGAACUGUCAGAUGACAGGCCACGUUGGCACCGUUCCUGCACUCACGUAGAUGUCACCUGUUCACCAGCGCAGCCACAACCUGCCCCACGCACGGAAAGGCCGCAGAGCAGCCCACACCUGUGUCCCCGGACCCCUGCACCUUGUGGAGGCUGAACCAGGCACACACCUUCAACCCUCCGCUCUGCAGCCGGAAUGAGGGCCUUGGGGUUUGGUGAGAGAGCUGAGGAGCCAGUGGCUGGGGGAGGGCCACGUGCCCAUUCUGUCUCCAACUGCCUUUGUUCGAGAAUAAACACGCCAGGGCCGCCUCCCCCCACCCGAAAGCUGCUUCUACUGGAGAGAGAAAUCGUUUACAAUCUCUGCUUUAGAUGUACAAAAAGUCUGAAAUUGCUUGGAGACCAGGCGGGAGGGAACCUGGGUGAGGCUUGGGGGAUCCGGGCGGGUAAUUGCAGGUCAUCUAUCUGCCUCUGUCAGCGCGCGCCUGCUCAGCAAGCGUUUA